UUGUUUGAUGGGUUCGAUGUAGAUGUUGGAUUGUUCUCCCAUGUUUCUAGAAAAAUGUAUACUUAGGGAGUUAGGUCUUUGAUAUGGAACAUGAAGAUUUGAAAAUCGAAAUGAAAUCUGUUGCAAAGCAAUUCUUGUAUGUUCACUGUAUGCAGGUAGCAAUUGAUAUCAUGAGAUUUGUCUAUAGUUCUCACUUUGGGUUUAUCAAAAUUGUUGCAGCAUUUGGAAAUUCUUUGCUUGACAGCCCGUUUCCACUGGUACCCAUUUUAGUCAAAACUCGUUAUGAGCAGAACCAAAAUGACCAUUUUUCAAAUGGCCAGCUCUGACCCAAACCCGUUCCUGGCCUGUUAACCCACCUGACCAGACCUGUCUUGCCCGUUUGCCGGUUAUAUUUACAUUUUAAGGUAUGGAACGGUGACAGAGUAAGUCAAGUUUUUAGUUUGCUUAGAACCUGUCAUGUUAGAUAAAAUGAGUAAAGAAAGGUGUGUUUGUCAAACGGGUAAGGCAAUAUCUAGUAGACCUGGCAAAAGUAACCCGUCAUGUUGAAUCUGGGUCUUUAUGGGUCACAACAAUAACUUCCUGGGUUGAUUUGGGUUUUUAAUUGGUGGAUCAAAAUGGGCAAAAACAAUAUGAAAUAGCUUUAACGGGUCAAGAAGAGAAAUAGAGUGGGUGAGAUUGGGUUGCAGAAAAUAGAACGGGUCUCUGAAGAGUGAAACCGAAAUCGAUUCGUCUCUGAAAUCAUCUUCUACAUCGAUCUUGUUGAUUCCAAAAUCAUCGAUGUUUGCUUUCAAAAUCUUCGACUCCAAUCGGUUUCUUGUUCCAAGUGGACUAUUCACAGGUAAUAAGUGUUCUUCCGUGGCAGUUGUGGAGUGUACCAAUGGAACGCCCACCAGAUGUUUGAUGAAAGUCCAGGGAGAAUUAUGGAAUAGAAUUCAUAAAUUCUAUGGCUGCUUUUGAAGAUAAUGUUCAUUCAGAAAAGGAUGCUACUGGUGUAGAUAUGAAGGCUGGGUUAACUACUACGGCAAAGGUUGAUGUUUUCUAGGUCAUUUUAAGUGAGAGCUAAUCUUGUUUCUAUCUUCGAGACGGACUUUGCAGUUACCAAUGGUGGCUCCUAAGGCCAAAGGGUGUGAAUCGUGAAGGGGAAUCGUGGAGCUAAGGUGCCAUGGUGGCCAUUAGUGGAACACCCCUUGCUAGUGAUGGUGAAGGGCAUGAAGAUCUCCACGAAGGCCACCAGACUUCUGCUAUCCAAUUUUUUAAAUAAAAAAAAAAAAAUUAAAAACAAGUGGGGAUAGUGAACCACACCCAUGGAUAGUGGAGGAGAGAGAUUGUGGAAGGGGAUGCUGAAGUGGCGCUGAGGUGGAGGAUGGUGAUGGGUGUUCACUAACCACACCCAUCAGCCUAAGAUCACUAAGAAGCGGGUCAAGUAAUUUAUGAGACCCCAAAGUGACUCGAAAAUCUGUGGCAAUGUGCAUCCUGCUUGUUUGGACACUAGAUAUGAAGUUUGUUUCUUUAACAUUUUCACAAAAUCUUCUAACAGUAUUUGUGAAUUCAGUUUGAGUACACUUCUUAGUCAGCUUGAACUGUGUAUUUUGAUUUUAACUGUCAAACGGGUGGUAAUCUACUAUCCCCCACGUUGUUUCUCAUGUAUACUUAGGUCUUUGAUAUGGAACAUGAAGAUUUGAAACUUGAAAUGAAAUCUGUUGCAAAGCAA